rnacentral:misc_RNA from 1 species
AAAAAAAAUGGCUUUACUUUUUGCUUACUAUGCUAUGAUUCUCCUAUGAAAAUGACUAAAUUAUCCAUCUUUUUCACUCUUCUCUCUCUCUCUAUUUCUCUCUCAUCAUCCUCUUCCCUCUCCACACAUCUACAUUAAAAACUCCAUAAGCAAAGUUGCAUCCUUUCCCCUCUUCUUCUUUCACAACAUUUCAAGGGAAAA